CCCUUAGAUGUUCUGGGCCGCACGCGCGCUACACUGACGAAUGCAACGAGCUUAUAACCUUGGCCGAAAGGUCUGGGUAAUCUCCAAAUUUCGUCGUGAUGGGGAUAGAUUAUUGCAAUUAUUAAUCUUCAACGAGGAAUGCCUAGUACGCGCAAGUCAUCAGCUUGCGUUGAUUACGUCCCUGCCCUUUGUACACACCGCCCGUCGCUCCUACCGAUUGAAUGGUCCGGUGAAGCGUUCGGACCGUGGCCUUUGGACGGUUCGCCGUCUGUUGGCUGCGGGAAGUUCGUUAAACCUUAUCAUUUAGAGGAAGGAGAAGUCGUAACA
rnacentral:rRNA from 1 species